rnacentral:rRNA from 1 species
GUCACUGACGCUGAGGCUCGAAAGCGUGGGUAGCGAACAGGAUUAGAUACCCUGGUAGUCCACGCCGUAAACGAUGAGUGCUAGGUGUUAGGCCCUUUCCGGGGCUUAGUGCCGGAGCUAACGCAAUAAGCACUCCGCCUGGGGAGUACGACCGCAAGGUUGAAACUCAAAGGAAUUGACGGGGGCCCGCACAAGCGGUGGAGCAUGUGGUUUAAUUCGAAGCAACGCGAAGAACCUUACCAGGUCUUGACAUCCCGAUGCUAUUCUUAGAGAUAGGAAGUUACUUCGGUACAUCGGAGACAGGUGGUGCAUGGUUGUCGUCAGCUCGUGUCGUGAGAUGUUGGGUUAAGUCCCGCAACGAGCGCAACCCUUAUUGUUAGUUGCCAUCAUUAAGUUGGGCACUCUAGCGAGACUGCCGGUAAUAAACCGGAGGAAGGUGGGGAUGACGUCAAAUCAUCAUGCCCCUUAUGACCUGGGCUACACACGUGCUACAAUGGUCGGUACAACGAGUUGCGAGCCGGUGACGGCAAGCUAAUCUCUGAAAGCCGAUCUCAGUUCGGAUUGGAGGCUGCAGCUCGCCUCCAUGAAGUCGGAAUCGCUAGUAAUCGCGGAUCAGCACGCCACGGUGAAUACGUUCCCGGGCCUUGUACACACCGCCCGUCACACCACGAGAGUUUGUAACACCCG